UUGGUCAUUAUAUACAGGAUAUUAAAAAUGGAAUGGUUCAGAGAAGAUUAGCAUGGCCCCUGCUAAAGGAUGACAUGCAUAAUUAUGAAGCAUUUCAUAUUUUG